AUAUCUCUGUUGUAACGUCACACAGACUGACAGUGACUCUGGUCCCCAAGUUCAUUUUGCUCAGAACACAAUAAUGAUCACAGCUGGUCUGAUCAAACUCUCUGCAGCUCUGCUCUGUAUUACAGGUCUAACAGAUGGGAGUGAUGUCAAUCAGACCCCCGUGCUGUGGGGGGACGAGGGUCAGUCUGCCACAAUGAACUGCAGUCACACUAAGGACAUCUCAUAUCAACAGAUGUACUGGUACAGACAGCUACCAGGGGAGAGGAUGAAGCAAAUAGUUCUCACAACUACAACUCCCCCACAUGAAUAUGAAAGUGGCUUCAGUGAGGACAAAUUUCCUGCAACGAAGAACAAUGCUCAGACUGGAUCUUUGACAGUGGAGAAGCUGCUGCCUGAGGACAGUGGAGUGUAUUUUUGUGCUGUGAGUCAACACAGUGAUACAGGUGACUUAGACAGCUGCACAAAUACACAACUGUUGGUGUCACAGAGAAUAGAAGACAUCAGUGUCUUUAAUUGUCUGUAGGGGGAGCUCAAGACCUUAAAUGUGGUUCACAGUAAAUGUGAAAUGAUGGGCAAUGAUGUCACACCAUGGACUCCAUACUACUGAACAUGUUUCCUGACAUUUGUAGAAUCCAAAUCAGUGCUGAUUUAAUUAAUUGCAUUCAUUUUGAAUUCCAGUAAACUUUUAU